rnacentral:rRNA from 1 species
AAGCCAUGCGAGUCAUUGUAGUAAUACAAGGCAUACGGCUCAGUAACGCGUAGUCAACCUAACCUAUGGACGGGAAUAACCUCGGGAAACUGAGUAUAAUGCCCGAUAGAACAUUAUGCCUGGAAUGGUUUAUGUUCCAAAUGAUUUAUCGCCGUAGGAUGGGACUGCGGCCUAUCAGUUUGUUGGUGAGGUAAUGGCCCACCAAGACUAUUACAGGUACGGGCUCUGAGAGGAGUAGCCCGGAGAUGGGUACUGAGACACGGACCCAGGCCCUAUGGGGCGCAGCAGGCGAGAAAACUUUGCAAUGUGCGAAAGCACGACAAGGUUAAUCCGAGUGGUUUCUGCUAAAGGAACCUUUUGUUAGUCCUAGAAACACUAACGAAUAAGGGGUGGGCAAGUUCUGGUGUCAGCCGCCGCGGUAAAACCAGCACCUCAAGUGGUCAGGAUGAUUAUUGGGCCUAAAGCAUCCGUAGCCGGAUCUGUAAGUUUUCGGUUAAAUCUGUACGCUCAACGUACAGGCUGCCGGGAAUACUGCAGAUCUAGGGAGUGGGAGAGGUAGACGGUACUCGGGAGGAAGGGGUAAAAUCCUUUGAUCUCUCGAUGACCACCUGUGGCGAAGGCGGUCUACCAGAACACGUCCGACGGUGAGGGAUGAAAGCUGGGGGAGCAAACCGGAUUAGAUACCCGGGUAGUCCCAGCUGUAAACUAUGCAAACUCAGUGAUGCAUUGACUUGUGGUCAAUGCAGUGCUGCAGGGAAGCCGUUAAGUUUGCCGCCUGGGAAGUACGUACGCAAGUAUGAAACUUAAAGGAAUUGGCGGGGGAGCACCACAAGGGGUGAAGCCUGCGGUUCAAUUGG